CUAAGGCUCGAAAGCGUGGGUAGCAAAACGGAUUAGAUACCCGUGUAGUCCACGCCGUAAACUUUGGACGCUAGGUGUUUGGUACAACUAUUUUUUCCUUCGGGAAAUAAUGGAAGUAUUGAGUGCCGCAGUUAACACGUUAAGCAUUCCGCCUGGGAAGUACGGCCGCAAGGCUAAAACUCAAAUGAAUUGGCGGGGACCCGCACAAGCGGAGGAGCGCGUGGUUUAAUUCGACGGCAAUCGAAGAACCUUACCAGGGUUUGAAAUGUAUCUGCAUGCCUUAUGAAAGUUCGGCAGCCUUCGAGGGUGAUACACAGGUGCUGCAUGGCCGUCGUCAGCUCGUGUCGUGAGAUGUAGGGUUAAGUCCCGAAACGAGCGCAACCCCUAUCCUAUGUUACAAGUGUCUUAGGAAACUGCCUCGGUAAAACGGGGAGGAAGGUGGGGAUGACGUCUGGUCCGCAUAGCCCUUAUGUCCUGGGCUACACACGCGCUACAAUGGCCAAUACAGCGGGAAGCCAAGCCGCAAGGCGGAGCUGAUCCUCAAAAUUGGUCUCAGUUCGGAUUGAGGUCUGAAACUCGACCUCAUGAAGUUGGAUUCGCUAGUAAUCGUGAAUCAGCCAUGUCACGGUGAAUACGUUCUCGGGUUUUGCACACACCGCCCGUCAAGCCAUGGAAGUAGGUGAUACCCGAAGGUGUUUUAUCCCUUGUGGAUGGAAUGACGAAGGUAACGCUUAUGACUGGGGUUAAGUCGUAACAAGGUAGCCGUAGGGGAAUCUGCGGCUG
rnacentral:rRNA from 1 species